GUAGUUUAUUAAAAAUAUUGAUUUGUGGUGUCAAUGAUAUGAAUUUUAUUCAUCUUAGAUCGUGAAAAAUUAUUUAUC
rnacentral:tRNA from 1 species